CAAAUGACUGUUGCUGACCUACAGUGGUAUGCAUAUUGUCUGUUCAAAGCCCUUGCUGGUCUACAUAGGCAGGGAAUUGUUCACAGAGAUGUUAAACCUGGAAACUUUCUUUACUCUUGCAAGGUCAGCAAGGGUUACCUGAUUGAUUUCAAUCUUGCAUUGGAUAUGCGCAAAA